UACGGGGGGGGCAAGCGUUGUUCGGAAUUACUGGGCGUAAAGGGCCAGUAGGCGGCCAACUAAGUCCGACGUGAAAUCCCCAGGCUCAACUUGGGAACUGCGUCGGAUACUGGAUGGCUUGAAUUCGGGAGAGGGAUGCAGAAUUCCAGGUGUAGCGGUGAAAUGCGUAGAUAUCGGAAGGAACAUCAGUGGCGAAAGCGACUUCCUGGACCAAUACUGACGCUCAUGUGCGAAAGCGUGGGGAGCAAACAGG
rnacentral:rRNA from 1 species